CGCGCGCGCGGUGCCAACCGAGCCGGGCGCUAUGCUGCGCGUAGGCAGAACCUAUGAUGUUGAUGAGAAGUGCUGAUGGUUGGCAUCUUUGGCUUGGUCUGGAUCUCAAAG